rnacentral:lncRNA from 1 species
AAACAAUGGCAUCUGACAUGGUCAUGCGGAUGAAGCAAAGGUGUGGAACUGCAUUCCUCUGCGCAGAAAAAAAUGGCACACACUAACAUUCAUUGAUGUUUGCUGAAUGUUUAUGGAAACCAAAGAGGGGAUGUGAGCACAGUGAGGUCAUGGGUGGAGCGUUUCAACAGUGUUAACAGUGACAUGAAAGGCAAGUCUUGUUCCAGAGGGCCACACAGAUUUUACAAGUACAGUACGCAGGCUCUUAUUGAAAGACUGGUGAAAAUGCAUAGCUAAUGGUGGUGACUGUGUUGAAAAAUAAUGCUUUGUAGCAGAGAAUUUGCUCUAUCAAACAGUGUUAUUGUGCUCUUUAUAUCUAUGUUAGCUUCCAUGGAAAUAAAUGAGACAUUACUUUCAGAGCAACCUACAAACUUUGAGGUUUCAGCACCAUACAGUGUUAUUUGUGUCUCCAUUUUACUCCACACAUUUUAGUAUUUCCCUAUGAAAAUACAUACCAGUUUGCAGGCUUGCUGCCUUUCUAAUGCCAACCAAAAAAAAAGAAGAAAAAAAGGAUUUUGAGCAGAAUGGUUUAAUGCCAUGCACUCUUCAUGGUCUCUUGUGCACACUGUAGGCCUUCCUUCCUGCAAGCUGCUUGACUGACAGGUUCCUGCGGGCCUUGGAGACAGCCAGGGAAAAGGAGCAGCAGCCAUGUUCAGAAAGAGUUUCAUUUACUAUGUUCCAUCAGAGAAUUAUUCAGAGGCCAAUAACCAGCGCAGACAGUUGUCAUAACAUUGUAAAAUUACUACAGACUUUGGAAGAAAGAAGUGGCAAUUACUCUUGGGGAAGUGUGCUUAGGAGACACUGGGAAAAACUGGAUUCUGUCAUGUUAACCAUUUCCAAUGCAGUCUCAUGGUCCUACAAGAAAUGAAAUUCACACGACUGAUAGCAACAUCUAAAGAAAUAGAAGAUGUAAAAGGGAAUUUAAAAAGAUGUCUCGGCUGCUUGGAAGCCUCAAGAAGCAGAUCUGUCUCUGGAUUUGAUCAAGUCAACAUUUUGUAGCAGAGUAGGAGAUUCUAUUUUCUUUGAAACUGGAAGGAAAUAAUGAAAGUACCAUACUGGUAUAAGACUAGGCCAUUCAUUGGUGAGGUUUCUCAUAAUUUCACUAACUUCUGGUAAUCUGUGAUAAUUUAUGCUAGGAAAUGUUGUUUUCUAUGAUGUUUCAAAUUAUUUAUAUGUCAUUGAACUUCAGAAGAGUCCACAAUUUCCUUUGAUCCUUAAAAUAGUUUGUCCUUAAGUCGCAAGAUUAUUUUAUUUCAACGAGGCUAACAAAAAGUAUGCUAUUUAACUUCGGUGUAAGAAUCUUCAUGCCUAUUUCUUUUUGUUUGUAGAAAGGAAUCUUGAAAUUAAACCUUAAUUAUAAAUGACUUAAUGUUGGCAUGUUAUAUCUCACAGCUAAUAAAAACAUCUAAAGACAACA